UCCUGCUUAACGCAGGCAGUCCCUCUAGAGUGUCCAACUAAAUGCUGACAACUAAAGGUAAGGGUUGCGCUCGUUGCGGGACUUAACCCAACAUCUCACGACACGAGCUGACGACAGCCAUGCAGCACCUGUAAACCGGCCCUUGCGGGCGAGGACAUUUCUGCCACUCUUCCAGUCUAUGUCAAGCCUAGGUAAGGUUCUUCGCGUUGCAUCGAAUUAAACCACAUGCUCCACCGCUUGUGCGGGCCCCCGUCAAUUUCUUUGAGUUUUAAUCUUGCGACCGUACUCCCCAGGCGGGAUACUUAACGCGUUAGCUACGUCACUAGAGGGGUCAAUACCUCUAACAACAAGUAUCCAUCGUUUAUGGCGUGGACUAC
rnacentral:misc_RNA from 1 species